rnacentral:piRNA from 1 species
UAGAAAUGCAGCUACAGUGGAUGGAG